CAAAGAAUAGUUUAAAUUAGAAUCCUAGCUUUGGGAGUUAGGGGCAGGGGUUAAAAUCCCCUUUCUUUGAAG
rnacentral:tRNA from 1 species